AAGAGCCGCAGUAUACUGACUGUGCUAAGGUAGCAAAAUAAUUUGUCUUUUAAUUAAAGACUUGCAUGAAAGAUUUGACGAGAGACCCACUUUCUUUCUUUUUUCUAAAAAUUGACAUUUAAGUAAAAAGGCUUAAAUAUACCAACAAGACGACAAGACCCUAUAAAACUUUCAUUCUUCAGAUUUAUUCUAUCCCCAGAACACACUAUAAACUCUUAAGAAUUUUACUGGGGCGGUGUUUAUAUAAUUUCUACCUAUACUAAUCACAACAUUUAUUUAUGAAUAAAUAAAUCUUUAAUUUUGCAUAAUACCAAGUUACUUUAGGGAUAACAGCAUAAUAUUUUUUAAGAGCCCAAAUCGACAAAAAUGAUUAUGACCUCGAUGUUGAAUUGGGAUUCCUUUUAAAAGC
rnacentral:rRNA from 1 species